rnacentral:rRNA from 1 species
GACGAACGCUGGCGGCGUGCUUAACACAUGCAAGUCGAGCGGUAAGGCCUUUCGGGGUACACGAGCGGCGAACGGGUGAGUAACACGUGGGUGACCUGCCCUCCACUUCGGGAUAAGCCUGGGAAACCGGGUCUAAUACCGGAUAUGACUUCUCGGUGCAUGCCGGGUUGUGGAAAGUUCUUUCGGUGGGGAUGGGCCCGCGGUCUAUCAGCUUGUUGGUGGGGUGAUGGCCUACCAAGGCGACGACGGAUAGCCGGCCUGAGAGGGUGAUCGGCCACACUGGGACUGAGACACGGCCCAGACUCCUACGGGAGGCUG